rnacentral:rRNA from 1 species
UACGUAGGUGGCAAGCGUUGUCCGGAUUUACUGGGCGUAAAGAGCGCGCAGGCGGUCGUUCAAGUCGCGUGUGAAAGCCCCCGGCUCAACUGGGGAGGGUCACGCGAUACUGCUCGACUUGAAGGCAGGAGAGGGAAGUGGAAUUCCCGGUGUAGUGGUGAAAUGCGUAGAUAUCGGGAGGAACACCAGUGGCGAAGGCGACUUCCUGGCCUGUUCUUGACGCUGAGGCGCGAAAGCUAGGGUAGCAAACGGG